UGCGCAGGCGGAAUGCUAAGUCAACUGUUAAAUUUCCCGGCCUAACCGGGAGUCAGCGGUAGAUACUGGCGUUCUUGAGGGUGGAAGAGAGAAGUGGAAUUCUCGGAGUAGCGGUAAAAUGCGUAGAUCUCGAGAGGAACACCGAUGGCGAAGGCAGCUUCUUGGUCCAUUUCUGACGCUCAUGCACGAAAGCGUGGGAGCAAACA
rnacentral:rRNA from 1 species